UACGAAGGUCCCAAGCGUUGUUCGGAAUCACUGGGCGUAAAGGGAGCGUAGGCUGUGAGGUAAGUCGGGUGUGAAAUCCCGGGGCUCAACCCCGGAACUGCACUCGAUACUGCUUUACUAGAGGACUGGAGAGGAGAUUGGAAUUCUCGGUGUAGCAGUGAAAUGCGUAGAUAUCGAGAGGAACACCUGUGGCGAAGGCGACUCUUUGGCCUGUAACUGACGCUGAGGCGCGAAAGCGUGGGGAGCAAACAGG
rnacentral:rRNA from 1 species